rnacentral:rRNA from 1 species
GACGAACCGUGCGAACGUUGUUCGGAAUCACUGGGCUUAAAGGGCGCGUAGGCGGUUCACCAAGUCCGGAGUGAAAUCUUUCGGCUUAACCGGAAAAGUGCUUUGGAAACUGGUGGACUGGAGGGAAGUAGGGGCUUGCGGAACAUCCGGUGGAGCGGUGAAAUGCGUUGAUAUCGGAUGGAACGCCGGUGGCGAAAGCGGCAGGCUGGACUUCUUCUGACGCUGAGGCGCGAAAGCUAGGGUAGCGAACGGG